CCCGAUCUCGGCCAGAUCCGCGCCCACCAGUUCCUUGUUGGCAUCCGAUUUGAGCAGGACGAUAUCCGACCAUUUCUCGGCCUUGACGAUGAGCCACAUAGGUUUGGGGUUGGCCUUGAUCCGGGCGCGAUCCUCGGGAUUGGCG
rnacentral:tRNA from 1 species